CAGGAUUAUACAAAUCUGCUUCUUUCUUGAUUUCCAACUUUUGGUUUUGCUUUGCCUGCAGUUAACAGAUGAAUUUUUUACUAAAAAGUUAACUUAGGAAGUAGAAGCACUCAUUUUCUAUCAAGGCUUUGAAUGGUUCAAACAGAAUUGACUAUGGAGGUAUUAGCAGGCGGCUUUGGUCUGGAAAAUGACAUUACUUGGAAAUGGGAAGCUUCUGAGGGCUUGUUCCUAUACAACAAAUAAAAAGAAAAAGGCAGGCAAAUUUCCCUAUUCACAAAUCCAUUGAAAAAAAAUAAAGGUGAGAUGAUAUUGACUGGCUUGUAAUAUGAUAAGAUUCAAUGGGUUUAAAAAUUGAAGUUUUCUUGCAAAAGAAAUGUUCAUUUGAGAGAAAAUUGUUCAUGAUUUUGUCGAAGUCUACGUCUUUGAUUUUGUAAAACCCAUUUUCGUACUAGAUGUAGUAGAAAGAUUUGACCACUUUGCAAAUCUCCACUUCCACUUUCUGUUUGAGUGUGACUGUAGAACUUGUUGGAAAUUGGCUGAAGAAGAUUCUUAAAAGAACAGUGGAAGGACGGAGCGAGAAGAGAGAGAAGGGAGAUACAACAAACCUCCUUUCUGGGUGUGUAAAUUCUCAACCAAAUCUGUUUAAUUCAAAGAACCAUGUUUCAUACCCAAAUUACAAUGAGUUUUAAUCCUAUUUUAAGCUACAAAACUUACCUUAGCCACUCAUGACGUGCUGAGAUGACUGUCACACCCUUCAAAUUCACCUACUUAAAUUGAGAUGAGAUGCAACUAGCAAGAGAAGUGUCAACAAGGUGACACUCCACACCAAGAACGCAACUUGAAUGAUUCAAGGCAUAAUUUUCCUACUCCCUGCUUAGCUUAUCACUUAGAUGCUUUUAGCACAUUUGAAAAUUUAAGUUGAAUGCUAAAAAUGCUCAAUGUGAUGGAUAACAAUGAAUGCACAAAAACUUCUCAUUUUAUUUACUCAAACACCCGUUUCAACUCUACAACUUGACACUAAAUUUUAACUUAUUACAAUACGGUUGCUUCUUGUCAUUCGUCAGCUUACCUCUACCCCUACAAGUUAUGCUAGGUGUUUGUUAACUUUCUAUUAGAGUUCGGUAAAAAAGUACCGCAUAACUAUAAUGCUCCCGAAUACACGUUAUUAAGUGAUCCCGUAGAAACACAUUUGGGCUCUUGGUGAACACGAAGGAAACAUCCUAAGAGAGUCGGGCUGACUCUGUCGAAUCACUCAUAAAAUCUAGCCACACAUGCAUAAGUAGGUGGUGAUUUCGAGAGACACCCAUAUGGUACGACUCUAACCGACAAAGUUAAUAGAACAACAUAGCCUAUACAUGUAGCAUAUCAUAAAUAUCAUAUCUCAUCAUAAUGUAUCUCAAUCAUUGGAUAUCUCAAUCAUAACAUAUCUUAUUAAUAAGAUAUCAUGGUCAUCACAUAUCCCAGUCGUGUGUAUCUCGGUGUCUAUGUAGUCAUCAAUAUCAGUCAUCCCUAAUAGUCACAUCAUGCAUCAUAGUUACGAUAAUGCAUAAUAAGGUAAAACAUACAUGCCCGGCCUUUAUUCUAAUGCUGGGUCAAAAUAAUCCUGCAAUCAAAGCAGGUCCUAAAUAGUAAAAGAAACUAAAAUUAAUAAAAUUAUCGAUUGGUUAUUGAACCCAAAAUCAACUCAAUUCAACUUACCCAAAGUUGAGGUUGAAUUCCCGUUCAACCAUGGUUAAGGAGAAAUUCGUGGAAGUUAAUUCUUUUAAUUUAGCCUAUUACCCUUCAAGCAAAAAAAAUCCAAAUCAACUUAAUUAAGGUCCAAAAAUAUAACAAUUGACGUGUAUAUCUGACACCAUCAAAACUCACCCCGAAUGGCUCAAUAUAGGUGAAGAGUGGGCAAAAUGGUGCAAAGUAGCUCGACUUGUUCGGAUGGCUCAACCUGGAUGGAAGGAUGGCUCAGAUGGUGGCUCAGACGUGAGAAGAUCGACUCGAGUGAAGAAAGAAUGGAGACUCUUCGGCUUCACGAUGGCGGAGAGUCGCGGCGAAGAUCCACACGUUGGAUCGAAGGAAACUUGGCUGGAGGCUUCGCUGGGUGGAAUGCGACGGCGGAAGAAAGAUGGAGCUUAGCGGCGACAGUGGCGCACAACGGCUCGCGAGCCAAAGAUGAACGCGCGAAGACUAGCUUCGUUUGUGCUUGGACGGUGGUGAACAUAGUCUGUGGUGGUGCGACCUUUAAUGGAGAUCGGUGAACGGAGAAGAAAAGGGCGACAACUAGGUUUUCAAGAGAAGGAAGAUCAUAUAGUUUCCUUCUUUUGUUUGCACUAGUAGGGGUGAAAUCCGGUUGGGUUGAUAGACAUUCUCAACUCAACCCAUAUUUUCGGGUUAUUUUGGUUGGCAACCAACUCGAAUAAUCUGAUUUCCAACCAAACCGGUUGUAUUUGUUUUUUUUUUCCUUCUCUUGUUUCUAGUUACAUUUAAAUUGGAUUGUAUAAGCUUGUUACAUUUAAAUCGGGUUGUAUAAGUUUGUUACAUUUAAAUCGGGUUAUAUAAGUUUGUUACAUUUAAAUUUCAAA